GGUCUGCUCUCUCUCUCUCUAUACCUCCCUUCCAGUAGAUCUGCUCUCUCUUUCCCUCCUUCAUGCGGCGGCUCGUCCUCCUCCCUUUGGCCUCUCUGGUCGACGGCGGCACCAGCAGCAGCUCCGGGCCUCUCGAGCUAGAGGCGAGGUGGAGGUGGCCUUGCGGAGAAGGCGCGAAACGCAAAUGAAAUCCCACCCUACGCACAACUGAUCUGGGCCGCCGCCGUCUCCCCGCAACGCAUUCUACAACGACCUCCGACUCGUCUCUCCGGCCUGGGAGCACGAGCUCGGCUCGUCGUCUCGUUCCUCGACGAUGCUGCCUUAACUCAGGUCGUGCGGGGGGCUUUCUGCAAAAACACCUUGCAUGUCUACGGGUCAUGCCGACCCGUUGUACGUGUCCUAAUGAGCUGUCUGUUUAGCUGUGUGCAGAGUGAUUAAUUCAUUUUUUGACACAUAAACACAUGGUGAUCUAGUGCAUAAUUAAUCUUUACAGUUUUUUAUUGCAUACAUGAGAGAAUACACAAAACAUUCAAAUAAUUCACAUGACUCUUAAAAUAAUUCACUGCGUCCUGGUUGCCAUCAUCGGCCAGGUCUUCGUGAUCAUCACCAAGCAGAGUACGAUCAGCAUCAGAGAAAGGAGGAUCACCAUCAGGCACAACAGGAUCAUCACCAGGCGACAUCGAGCAAAAAAAAGAGUGGGAGAUAUAUCCAUACAGAAAUCACCAGUCAUUACAAGGACUCCGAGGGCUUCGAGCGCCUCAGGGAGAAGCUGCUCGUCUUCGAUUACAUGCCCAAGGGCAGCCUCACCUUGUUCUUGCAUGGUCAGACUUCAUAUCCAAGCUAUGCUCUUCUUCGCUACUGUCUAAAUUUUUUAUAUAUGAUUGACAAAUAUUACUUUGUACCUAAAUCUUUAAGCUUAUGUUAAUCAUAUUAGUAAAAUACGACAAAUGCUUGCUGCCUAGGAACACUGCCAAUUGACAGCGCUAAGUAUUAGUGAAUUGGCAUGUGAGGUCCUGUACCUCAUCAAUUGCUAGUAUGUUUCAGCAAAGGCAUGGUCUGAACUCUGAACAUUUACAUAUUCAGGCAUUGCAGUCUGUUUAGUUUUACACAUCUGAGCAAAUGCUAACAUUGAUGCAACUGUAAUUCACUAAUUCUGCUAGCAGGUCAACAUAGAGUUGCCAACUUUGCAUUCCAGACGCAUUUGUUUAACAUGUCAAAAAUCUUGUCAGUCAGAGCAUCAGUAUCUCACUUUCAUAACCAAUGCAGACAAGUUCAGUAGCAUGCUGGAGGAAGUGUUCAUGUUAGUUUCAGACUUUCAGUGACAAUGAAAACAAACUAGCACCUUGUGCAAUUUUUGUGGAACAAUUAGGAGGAUGUGUGUGCAUCCUAAUGAGUAAUACUAAAAAAGAACUCUAUUUCAGAAUUAUCCAAGUAAA